rnacentral:rRNA from 1 species
GAUGAACGCUGGCGGCGUGCCUAAUACAUGCAAGUCGAGCGAACAGACGAGGAGCUUGCUCCUCUGACGUUAGCGGCGACCGGGUGAGUAACACGUGGAUAACCUCCCUAUAAGACUGGGAUAACUUCGGGAAACCGGAGCUAAUACCGGAUAAUAUCUUGAACCGCAUGGUUCAAUAGUGAAAGACGGUUUUGCUGUCACUUAUAGAUGGAUCCGCGCCGCAUUAGCUAGUUGGUAAGGUAACGGCUUACCAAGGCAACGAUGCGUAGCCGACCUGAGAGGGUGAUCGGCCACACUGGAACUGAGACACGGUCCAGACUCCUACGGGAGGCAGCAGUAGGGAAUCUUCCGCAAUGGGCGAAAGCCUGACGGAGCAACGCCGCGUGAGUGAUGAAGGUCUUCGGAUCGUAAAACUCUGUUAUUAGGGAAGAACAAAUGUGUAAGUAACUAUGCACGUCUUGACGGUACCUAAUCAGAAAGCCACGGCUAACUACGUG